rnacentral:rRNA from 1 species
CACCAGGUCAGGACACGGUAAGGAUUGACGGACUGAAGGCUUCUUUCUCGAUUCCGUGGAAAGUGGUGCAUGGCCGUUUUUGGUUGGUGGAUCGAUCCGUCUGGUUAAUUCCGUUAACGAACGAGACCUCGGCACUCCGAAUAGCGCGGCGGACGUCGCGGCCUCCGGGCCGUCUUCCGCACGAGCUUCUUAGAGGGGACCGUCCCCCGCCGGGGAAGGAGGUGCGAGGCAACGACAGGUCUGUGAUGCCCUUAGAUGUUCUGGGCCGCACGCGCAUUACACUGACGCGUCCAACGGGUGACUCCCGACCCGAAGGGGCCGGGGAAUCCGCAAGGCGCGUCGUGAUGGGGAUUGAACGUUGCAAUUGUUGUUCACGAACGAGGAAUUCCUAGUAGGCGCGGGUCAUCAACCCGCGCCGAUUACGUCCCUGC